rnacentral:rRNA from 1 species
UACGUAGGGUGCAAGCGUUGUCCGGAUUUAUUGGGCGUAAAGAGCUCGUAGGCGGUUCAGUAAGUCGGGUGUGAAAACUUUGGGCUUAACCCAAAGCGUGCAUCCGAUACUGCUGUGACUUGAGUUCGGUAGGGGAGUGGGGAAUUCCUAGUGUAGCGGUGAAAUGCGCAGAUAUUAGGAGGAACACCGGUGGCGAAGGCGCCACUCUGGGCCGAAACUGACGCUGAGGAGCGAAAGCAUGGGUAGCAAACAGG